rnacentral:rRNA from 1 species
UACGUAGGGGGCAAGCGUUGUCCGGAAUUAUUGGGCGUAAAGCGCGCGCAGGCGCCUUGUAAGUCCGCUGUAAAAGUCCAGGGCUCAACCCUGGAAAGCCGGUGGAUACUGUCGGGCUAGAGUCCGGAAGAGGCGAGUGGAAUUCCUGGUGUAGCGGUGGAAUGCGCAGAUAUCGGGAGGAACACCGGUGGCGAAGGCGGGUCACUGGGCCGAUACUGACGGCUGAGGAGCCGAAAGCGUGGGGAGCGAACAGG